AAAAGGCGUCUCAGUUCGGAUUGCAGGCUGCAACUCGCCUGUAUGAAGUCGGAAUUGCUAGUAAUCGCGGAUCAGCAUGCCGCGGUGAAUACGUUCCCGGGCCUUGUACACACCGCCCGUCACACCAUGAGAGCCGGGAACACCCGAAGUCCGUAGUCUAACCGCAAGGAGGACGCGGCCGAAGGUGGGUUUGGUAAUUGGGUGAAGUCGUAACAAGGUAAC
rnacentral:rRNA from 1 species